GACGAACGCUGGCGGCGUGCUUAACACAUGCAAGUCGAGCGGUAAGGCCCUUUCGGGGGUACACGAGCGGCGAACGGGUGAGUAACACGUGGGUGACCUGCCCUCAGCUCUGGGAUAAGCCUGGGAAACCGGGUCUAAUACCGGAUAUGACUCCAUGACGCAUGUUGUGGGGUGGAAAGCCUUGUGCGGCUGAGGAUGGGCCCGCGGCCUAUCAGCUUGUUGGUGGGGUGAUGGCCUACCAAGGCGACGACGGGUAGCCGGCCUGAGAGGGCGACCGGCCACACUGGGACUGAGACACGGCCCAGACUCCUACGGGAGGCAGCAGUGGGAAUCUUGCGCAAUGGCGAAAGCCUGACGCAGCGACGCCGCGUGAGGGAUGACGGCCUGGUGUA
rnacentral:rRNA from 1 species